GUGUCAUCGAUUGCGAUCAGAUUCGCGAUAUCAUUCAAGAAACGGAAACGACAAUUUUUCAUUUUCCGUGUUAUAUUAAUACAAUGAUAUAAAUUCGCGAUAACGUUAAUUAAGUCGAGCUAUUUCAUUUUUAACAAUUUGUCCUACUCGGAAAAACAUCGAUCUAUUUAUCAUUAAUCAUUAAUUAUUGGAAAUGAAAAGAAGGCAGACUAUGAUUCUCUGAUGAUUCUCUUUCUCAAAAAUUAAUUUUCUCGAGAACGAAGUGACGUUUCGUUUCGAGGAAUCGCUUUUCGAGAAAGAUAAGGACGGAUAAUCAAAUAUUUGAGCGUGACGAUCGUGUCAGUUUCGCGAAAAAGAUAAGAGACUAGGAUUAAACAAUACCAGGAGGGCAGAGAGAUAGGAGACGUCUAAUGACCCGGAUGAACGAGCGUUGGCACGCGCCCGCACCGAGAAUCGAGGGUAUCGCGAGUCCCGGCCUCCGGCUGCUCGCAAGAGGGUGCCUACUAGUAACUGUAGGCAGCCGACAAAAAUAGCGCCCCGAUGCCGUUGUACCUACGGAUGCAACGAGCAUUAGCAUCGACAGAACGAGAGGAGAGGGCGGGAUUCAGACGUGGCGGCCGCCCUUCGCCACGCAAAAGGGACUUUGUUCCAACGGGGGGAUCAUCGCGUCGUAGAGGAAGCUCUAUUUCCGCUCUCCACACUCCCUCGAGGCCCUCCAAUCACGCUGCCCGAUAUCACGUUCGCGUGUUAUAAAACGCGUGAAAGAAUUCUCCUCGUGUGCGGAGGAAAAAGUGAAGAAGAGGAAGAAAAAAAAAAAAAGAAAAGGAAAAAAACUCGUAUUAAAUGGAACUCACAAGAAGAUCCUUGUUUUCCAUGGAUGGGAAAUAUGGAUAGCAGGAAUUUUGAUUUUUUUUUUCAAUCUUAAUUUCCAAUGAAACAUGCGAAUAAAUAGAAGAAUCGUAUACAGAUGAAAAAGAAAAAGAAAGGAGUAAAACGAAUCCCACAAGUUUCCUCCGAUAGAAGAUAUCACGUAUAUAACGAUGGACGGAAUCACAGAAUGAAUCAAAACUUGUCAGCUGAUCGAGGCUUGAUCGAAGCUUGGUUCCUGAGAGCGAUACGCUCUGAGAAUAGAAUCUUGCAGUCGUGCUUUGAAUGAAAACAAACGGAUCGAUCGUAUGUCUUUGAUGUUUAACAACUAGUUAACGCAUAACAGGAAGGGGAACGGAUCCUAUCCUAGAGAUUAUUUCGCGUUAUCCGGCGUAAAAAAGCAAGGAGACCGGAUUCCCCUUGGAAGGACGAACGAUUUUAGCCAGCGCGGAGAAAGGUUUGUCGGCACGUCGAGAACGCGGUCCAGCUUGGAAUCUCGAAAAAAAGGACCCUUCAGCGCAUUCCCCUUUUUUCCAUGUGUACCAGCCGUGAUCGAACGUGCGGAAGCUCGCCAGUUAUGCACCUUAAAUCCGCCAACGAAAAAGAGACUGGUCGACGGUGAGAUUGCGGGACACAAAAGCUUACCGGUGUGUUUCAGCCUCGAAAUAGCAGCAGCGUCGGGACGUCGACUCUCGGGUUAUCUCUCGCGUUCCACGGAGCCACUUUCCUUCUUUCUCCUCUUCUUCGUCUUCCUCCUCCUCCUCCUCCUCCUCCUUUUCCACUCUAAUCGAAUCCCUCUAAUCGCGUUGAUCGGAAAAAAAAAUUGCCACGUCCUUCGAUUUCGUCAGAAGUGUUUAAGAGUGUUUAAUUAUUAUUAGGAUAAAUAUCAGGAACGAGAUAAACGUUGGUCGAACGUGAAUUCUCGAGCGACGAACCGUUCCACCCCCGUGACCCUCCAUUCAGAGGAACACUGAACCUGACGACGCGUUCUCAACGACUGCACCACGUUGCCCCCGUUCUAUCCGAGCCACGGCAAAGCUCUCUCGUUUGUCCAGAAGCUUUUUUUUUCUCUUCCUCGCUCGUUUCCCCACCAGCCCGGCUUUCCCCUACUAUUUCCUCGACUCGACGGGGUGGAAACCGAGGGGAUCCCCGAUCGAUCUUCCUCUCCAAACCUUAUUUCACCCGUUUUUCAUCUCCGGUUUUCGCUGAUUUUCCAAGCGAAACCUAAGUCUGUUUUAUUCGUUGAUUAAACGUGGGAUCGAAAUAAACGAAGAUUGUAUUGUAGAGAGAUACGAAUGCUGGUCGUUUAAUCUUUAAUCGAUUUUGAAGAUGAUCGAAACGUUUAUUUUAUUUAAAGAUUUAACUUUAAAUAAUGUUCGAAAUUGAAUCUUUCGAUAUCUUCAUACUUGCAUAUUUCUUUAUGUGGUGAUUUUUUAAAGAUGAUUUUUCUUUAGAUUAGAAACGAAUCGAGCUGGAAUGAAGAAGAUUGUAUUGUAAAUUGUAGUCUGAUUAUGAUGGAAGAAUUCACGCUCUCUGAGAGAUUAUGUUUCGUGAAUAGAAAUAUGAAGAAUCAUAUAUGAUGAAAAAACGAAAUGAACGAGAAUUGAUUCGAUAUAUUUAUAUUCUUAGAUUUCUAAUUUAAUCGUUAUUUUUUUCGAGUCCUUUGUCUUCUCGUGAGUUGCAUAUCCGGCGGAACUAGUGAAUAGUUUUUUCGCCUGUUUGUUUCGAAGCUUCAAAGAUUAUUAGCAUUUUUUCCUCUUCAAUGGAAAUUGUUUUGAAUAAUCGGUUAAAGAAUAAUCAAUCUUAAGCGUUUUGGCUUCUAAUUACUUCUAUUCAUUUUUAUUGUUACUAAUUAUCAAUUUAACAAAGAGUAAAAAUCUUUGGUGUCGAAAUUAAAGUGAUAAAGUGAUGCAAGUAAUAUAUAAAAUUUUUUUUAUUCGUUAUUCAUUAUCUUCAAUACGAUCUUUCAAUUUAUACCUCAUAGUAAUCAGCAAAUAUGCAUGUCGAUGAAGUUUUGUUUGUUCUUAUACACUGGACCCCAAGAGCCAUACUUGUCAUUCUUGUUCUGCGAUUGUUGAGGUCGCUGUUGGUGUGCUGACGAUGCAUUUUUGUUCUUUCUACGCAUUUAAAAUUAAAAAAAAGAAAAAAGAAGAAGAAGAAGAAGAAGAAGAAGAACGUUUAUUAUAUAUAUAGCAUAUCAAGAAGUUUAACUCUUUGCGCUAUAAUUAUUUAUUCUGAGUCAAUUCUAAUUUUAUCUUUUCUCGUUUUGAUUUAUUUUAAGUACAUAAAGUGUCAAAGAUAGUUCAAAAGUAAGGAAGAAUAAUAUUGCUGUCAUUAGAUGUGACUUUAUAGAGCAAAGGAUUAAAAUAUUUAGAACAUUAAGAUAUUUGAAAUAUAAGAAAAA